AGUGAACGCUGGCGGUAGGCCUAACACAUGCAAGUCGAACGGCAGCACAGUAAGAGCUUGCUCUUACGGGUGGCGAGUGGCGGACGGGUGAGGAAUACAUCGGAAUCUACUUUUUCGUGGGGGAUAACGUAGGGAAACUUACGCUAAUACCGCAUACGACCUACGGGUGAAAGCAGGGGAUCUUCGGACCUUGCGCGAUUGAAUGAGCCGCUGUCGGAUUAGCUAGUUGGCGGGGUAAAGGCCCACCAAGGCGACGAUCCGUAGCUGGUCUGAGAGGAUGGUCAGCCACACUGGAACUGAGACACGGUCCAGACUCCUACGGGAGGCAGCAGUGGGGAAUAUUGGACAAUGGGCGCAAGCCUGAUCCAGCCAUACCGCGUGGGUGAAGAAGGCCUUCGGGUUGUAAAGCCCUUUUGUUGGGAAAGAAAAGCAGCAGGUUAAUACCCCGCUGUUCUGACGGUACCCAAAGAAUAAGCACCGGCUAACUUCGUG
rnacentral:rRNA from 1 species